AAAGACGAGCUGAAGACUACGCAAAAACAAAAGCCGUCUCCGGAUUCCAAAGUUCAGAGUCUCCAGGAAAGACGCAUCUGCGGGCUGCGGGCGGGCGGUAGGGGAGGCAUCUGCUGCAUCUCGGCCACGGGAGACCCGAGCCCAGGGGCCCAGGGCAGCAGGUGCGCCGCGCCCCCGCCGAGGCCAGCGUGCCCGGCCUCUCCCGGCCCGGGCCUCCGCGGCGCGCUGGAGAGCGGGCUUCUGCGGCCGGCUCCGGAGGCUGGUGGCGGGGCGUGGACCCCCGCCCCUCCCAGGCCCGCCGUCCGCCCGCGACCUCGGCGCUCCUCAGGCCCGGCUCUCCUAACUAGCGCAGAAGAGUGAAAACCCGCCGUGUGAAACUUGACAAUUUAUUCCGGGCCCGGGGGAGGUCACCCGCAGUGCACACGCGGAUUGGCUGCGGCGCGCGCCCGGGCGUGCCGGCGCGGGGGCUGGCGGCCGCGGAUGCUCAGUGCGCGCUGGUGCUGACGACGCGGCAUCGCGGCCGCCCGGGGCCCGGCAGGCGCCGGGCGCGGGUGUCAGGGCAGCGCUGAGGCUGGGCGCAGCGUGACAGGGCAGCGGUCGGUGCCUGGAACGACAGAAGGGCCCCACCCAUCCAGACUGGGUGGUUUGGAAGAAACACUCCUUGCUGUUGGGUUUCAGACGUCACAGUCUCUAUUUGAAUCUUCCAGUUGACAUGGGCUCAAGCCAUUUACAACCAGCAGAUGUUCAGAAUGAAGGGUCUACUCUCACUUCAUGGUACAGAGAAGGAAAUUGAAGAUGGAAGGAAGAUGGAAGGCUUGUGAAGGCUGAUUAUGAAUCAUGUUUGAAGAGGAAAGAAAUGGUGGCUCAGGGGCAGGUUCUUGCCCAGUUCCCACUCCAGCCAAUCUGCCAACUAAAUGGGUCCAAAAACCUCUUCUCAACAAAGUGACAAAUGAGGCCCUAAUUCAUUGGCACUGUGAAUUCAAUCACUUAGCAUGAAUGGAGAAAGCCCUACACGAUGGAUUCCAGCACAUUAAAUAGCUUGACUCACGUCAGGAGAAAACAGGCAGUCGGCCACUGGAAGAAAAACUUGAAAAAAUGGUUUAUUAAUUGUACUAGUCUGCCUUAUCCCUGGACACUUGAAACUUAGUGUACAACACUUGUGAAGACGUGAUGGAAUGUUUCAUCAGUAAAUAUGUGAACAAGACCUCUAAUCCUAUUUCUGAUAAGCUAAGGCAAAGAAGAAAACACACGACAGCACCAGUUUUUUAUCAGCAAAUUGCUUAGGAAAAAGAAUUCCACUGUCUCAAGAAAAAAGAAACUCUUUAAGAGAUGAGCUAUUCAUCUCAAUUUCAUCUGGAUUAUUACUUGAAAAGAUGAAUAUUGGGUAAUGUAACAUAUAUCAGUAUCGCACAGUGAGAAAGAAACUUGCGAAAAUGUUUCUAAAAUUUUUCUCCCCUUUCUUUUUUAUUUUUUCAGAAAAGGAAGUAUUCUUUAGGAGUCUAAAAUGUGUUAGUUUGUUUUUAGCUAGCAACAUCCUUGACCACAUAAGUACACAGGGGAAAAAAACUUACUGCCUGGUAUGUCUUAAUAAAACAGAGAAGCUCUAUUUAAAAAAUUGAAUCAAGCUAAUCAUGGCCAGCUGAAGAUGAGAACAAUUUGGGUAAGUCUGAGUGUGGAAUGACCUUAGUUCUUAACUCCAGCAGAAACUGGGAAAAGGAAUGAAGAAGCAGAUUCUGUUUUUUAUCUUACAAUGAACUCAAUGGCAAAUCUGGAAGUAGCUUAAUUUUUCAGCACUUUAGUUUUCUAGCUUUAUAGUUGGAAGAAGAAGGAGUACCUCAGCCAGUAGAGCGUAAGGACACUUGGUUUCCAGUGCCAUCUUCUCAGGUCACUUCAUGUGCCAAAGGGAGAGACUUGGGCCAGCAAAUGUGCAGCCUUCCCACUUCCUCUCCUGCCAACCCAGGGCAGCCAUCACUAAUCAGUCUGGCCUUUUAUUCCUCUCUGGCCCAGAAUUCUCAAUACAAUAUUCCUAAUGGACUAGAAAUAGCAUGACAAUUGAAACCUACCUGCCAGCCCUAGACUAGAUGAGCUUUAAGGUCUUUUUUUAGUCUUAAAUUUCUAGGAUUUCUUCAUAAAUAUUUUCAGCCCUUUUAGGACAAAACACAAACGGACAAAAUGUUUUCUGAGCUCAACACAGAGGGGAAACAAUGAAAAAGAUGGCUGUUGUGUUCAUGGCUGUCCAUGAUGGGAGAAACAGAAAACAAGGAUGGCUAUACUUGAGUCUGCAGAGUCAAAAACACUUGUAUGCCUUUGAAAUAAGCCCCUAGUUCUCACCGCAGCUGUGGCUGCACAUCAACUACCUAUCAACCUUGUUGAUAAGCCCAAAGCUCCAAUAGACUCAGACACAAGUCAAUAUCAAUUUACCAAUUAGACAGCUAGAUUGGCAAUAGGUAAUGUGUUGUAUCACUUAUCUUUCUUGCCUGGAACGAAAAAGGAUUUAAGGUAGCUUUUCAAGGUAUUUAAAAGAAAAACCUUCUAAAAAUUAUUUGUAGAUGAGGAAAAAGAAACAGUGGGUAUACAUCGUUGAGACAAGAAUGAAUCCUGUCUGCCAGUUAUGGGCUACUGAUUUACAACAGCGGGCCACAGAGCUGCUCUAGGCUGCUGGUGGCCAUUGCGAAGUUACCCAGCUCAUGGGGGCCACAAGACAAAAGGGUAAAGCAACUGUUCAGAAGAAUUUCAACUAUUGCUGGCUCUACAACAGUCUUAUUUCUCCUGAGGGUCUACAGAAAGAAAAUGGCAUACAAGAUGUCAACUGAGUCUUCAACGAGAACAGCUGCAGAAAGUACUUGGGGAGAGCAGCGCGUCAUGAGGGUGUGUUAUCUACAGACCACGCUGAUAGCACAGCUUAGACACUGGACAUCACCGGGUUAUAAAGGAGCCAGCUGACAUUUUAUAGUAUGUACCAACUCUUCCAAGAACCAUUUGUCACUCUUCAAGGUUUCCACUGGUAAAACCAAGAUGUCUAAAAAUUUGUCAACAACCACAGAAAGUAACCCUGAGGUCAUGUCAGAGGGUGACAAAGAAUGUGCUUACUUGACAUUCUACAAACAUGCAAAUGGAACACUGGCCGUGACAGUGUUUCAAAGGGCUCUCCAGGUUGCAGAGUGCCAGAUCAGCUUUGGUAUGACUGCUGUGGAUGUGGACAUCGAGAUGGUGUAUUCCAGGAGCAGUGCAAGACAACCAUGUGAAUACAGACCUGGCCUGUGAGGCAAUCCCCGGGUCCCCAGCCCUGCCUACUUCAGACCACUGGUGUGGAGUCUGAGGAAUUAAGCAAGUGAAUUUUUUCCAGGCUGACUGCAAUUGCCCUGGCUCUCUCUGUUUUAAAAGGUUCAAUUUAAAUAACUCUUUUCAGAAAUAAUAAAACCAUCAAGAAAAAACAGUAUUAAUAACAACUAACAGUUCCAUAGGCCAGGUACUGUUGUAAGAGCUUUCCGUGCAUCAUGCACCUCCUCACAUCUGAUGAGACAGGUACUCACAUUAUCCCCACUUUGCAGAUUAAAACCUGAGACAUAGAAGAGUUAACUGCUCAAGGUCACACAGUGAGUAAGAGGAAAGUGAGGAUUCAAACUCAGGCAGGCCAGCUUCAGAGCUACCACAAGAACUCCUCCUUGGCCCCCCAAAACUGUCUCCUCAAGAAAGAUACUGUUGGAAACUAAGUUAGAAUAUGUGGAAAGAAAUGAUCAAAGCAACUCAUUCAGAACUAUGUAGGGAUCAAAAAUAAAGAGGAAGAACAAAAGGGCCACCUCCGUCCUGAAGGCUGACUCAGUUUACACAGCAUGCAUUUCCUAAGCACCUCUGUCUCCAGGCACUGUGCGUGGCUGCGGGUACAAAAAUGAGUAAGAAAGAGCUGAGAAAGCCAGGCUAGGGGCUGUACUCCAAUGGGGGUCCUCCACCCUGGAAGGCCAUACCAUUGUUACCAUUGGUUUGGCUUCUUCAGACAUGCGAGAACAUCUUUUACCUAAGAAAUAUAAUUGGGGUGGGGCAUGCUGUGGGGCAUAAAUGGCAGAGGAGCAUCCUCCCCACUGUUCUCAGGCCAAUGGAAAACAUCACAAGAUAGAGCUUUGAACAAAAAUGAGUUGCUGAGCCUUCAGGCUGACACUGACGCCUCUUUACAUGAUUGCUGCUGGCCAUUUUGGGGCUCCUGCUGGCACUUUCUGCUGCCCAGAAGAGAGCAGAAUAAGCCUAAUUAGAAAGUCACAUGUGCUCCCAGAGCUUUAACAGUGUCACACUGGCUGGCUGUUACUAUCUCUUAGAAUCCCUGGUGCUGGAGCAGAGAGGAAUAACUGGAGAUAAUUUAAUUCAACCUCCUGGGUUCAGCCUCAAUGGAUCCAAAAAGAAGGGUCCCCGAAGUUUCAGUGGCUUGCCCAAGGCCGAUCAGCCAGAGCAUGGCAGAACCAGGACUGGACUCACAUCUGAGAACUCCCGGUGUAACUAUCUUUCUACAGCCCCGUAUAGCUGUCAUGGAAUAAAUGUAGUACUAUGAAUCAGUAAAUUCAAUCAAGUCAAAUGCGUGUUUUGAAAAGUGAAGAAUGAAGAAAUAGAGUUUGAAGAACAUUCAACAUUCAUGAGAUGUGCCCAUUUCAGGUCACUGGAGAUGUUUCUCUGGUGCAAAGGUUUUCUUAAUAAGGGGUUUCAUUGGCCAGUUGGAUCGAGACAUGCACACACUAAUAUUAUUUUGCUUCUGGCAAUACCUUAAACCCCCAGUUAGGCAAGUCUAAAAAGCAGCAAUGGCCUUGAGAGUGCAGCAUGGUUUAUACAUGGCAUACACAUCUUUGAGGAUUUGGAGAAAUCUACAAGGGAUCCAAUGCUUUUCCACCUAUUGACAUUUACAAAGCAGUUUAAAUCAUGCAUGAGGGGCCUCAGGCACAUGCAGUUCACAAAACAUAACUCUGAGCUCCCAGGGAAUUUAAGCUGACCAACACUCUUUAUUAGAACUGACAGUGAAAGACAGCUAUUGCGAAAUUCGUACCAGAAAUGCAAUACCAAGAUGACAGCCUUAAUGCCAGCGGAUAUAUUAUGUAGAUUACCCGACUCAAAUCUUUCUUGUUAAAUAAGUUUCAUGCGUUCUUUUUUUUCCCUCAAGAACAUCCUUCUGGCUUCACAGGGGGAGCAUUCCUUAAAUUCCUUGAUCAUUCAUCUGUUUUUCAAAAAUUUUGGACAUGAUAGGUUAGCACAGGAGAUCAGAUAGAGAUAUUUAAACAGUGGGAAAUAGUUAAACUUUAAGUGAGCAACAGAGCUGAACCACAAAUUAAAAAUCUCAAUGUUAUCUUUGUAUAAUGUUCCAAUAUUUAAUAAUAUUUAAGAAGAAACAUUUUUCUAUGGCUGAUUCAUUCUAGAUAUCCAAUCCCCAUGUAAUCUAAGAUUUUAAGUGUGUGUAAUUAUAAAUUCAGAAUAAUUUCACCUGCAUGCUUUUCUAGGCCAAGACUUUCAAGGAAAUAAGGUCCCAAUCAAAACUUCAAAACUGGCUAGGGACAAAAGACAGCAAAUAUGCUUUUCCCUUCCAAUCGUCAUAGAAGCCAAAAUAUAAUGCAGAUGUUUUAAAUUCUAAUUGGGGAGGAGACAGAAGGAAUGGGUCAACAUGACUGAGGUCAGACAGACAAGGAAGUUGUUGGCAAUUUGGCAUGGGUGACAGUGGCCAAGGGCAAAUCUGGCAGAGGCUGAAUUAAAGUAAAAUUGCUAUUACUUGGAGGCUUGUAAGUUUCUGAAUGGGCUAGGUUACUUGCUUCCUAUUCUAGAAUUUCCAACCUGCAUCAACCUUACAUACUCUGGGUUAACUGUUACCACUGCUGGAGUGGCAGCAUCACCUUCCUCCGUGGGGCACUGUCUUUUCUAAGCAAUGAGGGAACAGCACCUUCCUAGAGACGUGCUUCUGCAGCCAAGGGUCACAUCACUUGCAAUGCACUCAAUGGUUGUGUGCACAGUAUGUACCAAGCUGCCUUAAACUUGCUUCUCUAUUGUAUUCUAAUAUUUACAGCAAAGAAAUUCCAGGAUCCAUGAGCACAAAGCUCUGUCUCCAGUCUCAAUAAGUUAGACACUACUUUCACAUAACGACUGUUUUUUUCAAACAUAUAGAGAUGCUUCAGUGAUUAAAAAUACAUUUUCUUUUUAAAAGCACAGCUAAAUUCACAGUAACUUUUCAUUCCUUGUGCAUUUUCUUAAUGGGCAAUUUCAAACAUGUAUUAGAGGAGAAAGAACUGUAUAAUAAACCCUAAUUUAUCAUCACCCAGCUUUAACAAUGAUCAACUCAUGGUCAGCCUUGUUCCUUAUAUACCGUACUCAUCCCUACUACUUGCACCUUUCCAGAUAAUUUUAAAACAACCCCAGACAUUAUAUCAUUUUACUGACAUGUAUUUCAGUACCUGCAUUUUAUAUUUUUAGAAUUACAAGAUGGUAAUAGGAAUCUCAUUCUUUUUAAUUUUUAACAAUGAAAUUAUCCUCAUGUUCAAAACAAACUGAAGAACUAUUUUUCUAGAUGCUUCCAUGGAUCUCAAUCAUUUAUUCACAUACAAGAGCAGAGAAUUUCUAAUUUCCAUAUAACCAUUAGGGACUAACAAGACAUGCAUAGCUUGUGUUUCAUGAAUGAUUUUCAAAUGAUUUCCUGAAUGAUACCCACUAUAUAUGCAAACGUAAAUUUGCUGCAUUAUUAUAAUCAAAGCCCAAGAGUGAAUAUAUUAAUAGAGUAAGCUUGAAAUAAAAUCUCCUUAAAAGGGUUACUGUUCAUGUUAAAUAAGAGAUACAUCAUGUAUCCUGUAAUCUAAGUAGCAAACACAAUUGCACACCCCACAGGCAAGACACAGUCUUUCAAAGGAUGAUAAUAAAGAAGCUGCAGAUAUAUUUUUAUGUGCUGGGUAUAAAAAACACAAUCGUGAAUAAUCACUUGAGCAUCCAAGAUCAUGUGCGAUCCACAAGUGACCCUUAAGACCCUGAGUGUGAAGAAAAUUGAAGCAGUCUGAUACCCUACAAUCAUCUAAAUAAACUUUCAA